AUUACGUAUUUGUUAUUACUUAUUAUGGUUACGAUGUUAGGUACUUAAAUAUUAAAAUGGUAACUAAUAAAAACCCUACUUUAAUUUAGUUAUGACCGUAUGGCGCAACCAUUAAAUGAUAAGUCGUGGGCCAAACAUUUCAUGUAUACAGAGAUUUUUAUUUCAUCUUUGAAUAUCAACAUCACAUUGCUGAUGACGAAACGAAUAAAAUAUUUUCGUAAAAGUGUGUGCUUUUGAAGCCGUGACGUGCGGCGAGUGGUGUGGUCAGUGACCUUAGCCGAAUGAACGCGACGCUAGCACACGCUCGCCCGGACCCCACCCCCGCAGUUGCAUCACACUGUGUAUUAGCAAACGAAACAAAUAACAAUUUCAUCGUGCACAACAUUCAGGCUUAAGAUUGAUAUGAUAUAUAAAUUUUUACAGCUUUUACCAGCAAUUUUAGGUACCCCAGACGAUGGUUGCCCAAUGUGCGACCUCCACAACCCACUCCGCUGCGGCCCAAAUUGCUUACAAGUCGAUGACCAAGACGCGGAGUUUGAAAUUAACCCAUCAAGACAAGGUGAAGUGAAAGUGAGCACGAAAAGUUCGAAAUAUGGAAUAGGUCGUGAUCUGAUAUGCCUCAACUUCCCCCCAAAGGGCAAAUAUGGUCGAUUGGAUACAGGCUUAGACGGUUUCAUAAUCAACAAAGGAAAGUUUAUGUCACUUAGGGAUUUGCUAGAAAUUGCAAAUUCCAAUCAAGGAUUCAAGGACAAGAAUCUUUUUGACAAAUACCGCGACAGCAGCGAUAUAAAGCAGACCCUUGACGUACUCGGUGAUAUUGUUUCGAGCAAGCGGGUUGGUUGGGGCAGCCUAGGAGGUUCAUGGGGCUAACUUAUCUCUUCACGUCUUCGGAGCUAAAAGUCGAAAGUAUAUUUAUUUUAUAUAAAAUAUGUAUACAAUAAAGACCUAAAAAUAU